rnacentral:rRNA from 1 species
UACAGAGGUCCCAAGCGUUGUUCGGAUUCAUUGGGCGUAAAGGGUGCGUAGGCGGCGCGGUAAGUCGGGUGUGAAAUCUCGGGGCUUAACUCCGAAACUGCAUUCGAUACUGCCGUGCUUGAGGACUGGAGAGGAGAUUGGAAUUUACGGUGUAGCGGUGAAAUGCGUAGAGAUCAGGAAGAACACCGGUGGCGAAAGCGCUCUGCUAGGCCGCAACUGACGCUCAUGGACGAAAGCUAGGGGAGCGAAUGGG